AUCUGGAGCCGUACCACCCUGUACGUGCCCCAUCUCGUCUGAUCUCAAAAGCUAAGCAGGGUUGGGCCUGGCUAAUACUUGGAUGGGAGAACACUAAAACAAUGACAGAGAUU
rnacentral:rRNA from 1 species